AUUAAACGCUGGCGGCAUGCCUUACACAUGCAAGUCGAACGGCAGCACGGGGGCAACCCUGGUGGCGAGUGGCGAACGGGUGAGUAAAGCAUCGGAACGUGCCCUGGAGUGGGGGAUAACGUAGCGAAAGUUACGCUAAUACCGCAUAUUCUGUGAGCAGGAAAGCAGGGGAUCGCAAGACCUUGCGCUCUGGGAGCGGCCGAUGUCGGAUUAGCUAGUUGGUGGGGUAAAGGCCUACCAAGGCGACGAUCCGUAGCGGGUCUGAGAGGAUGAUCCGCCACACUGGGACUGAGACACGGCCCAGACUCCUACGGGAGGCAGCAGUGGGGAAUUUUGGACAAUGGGCGAAAGCCUGAUCCAGCCAUGCCGCGUGAGUGAAGAAGGCCUUCGGGUUGG
rnacentral:rRNA from 1 species